AUAUUCCGGUUUCUCAUCAGGUCGCAUAAAUCUUUCGCAUUUUACUAAAGAUUUUCUUGGAGCGGAACAUUUAUAAGUUUAAACUAAUUUUUUGAUUCCCUCCUUCGGUGGGGCUU